UACGAAGGGGGCUAGCGUUGUUCGGAAUUACUGGGCGUAAAGCGCACGUAGGCGGACUAUUAAGUCAGGGGUGAAAUCCCGGGGCUCAACCCCGGAACUGCCUUUGAUACUGGUAGUCUCGAGUCCGGAAGAGGUGAGUGGAAUUCCGAGUGUAGAGGUGAAAUUCGUAGAUAUUCGGAAGAACACCAGUGGCGAAGGCGGCUCACUGGCCCGGUACUGACGCUGAGGUGCGAAAGCGUGGGGAGCAAACAGG
rnacentral:rRNA from 1 species